rnacentral:rRNA from 1 species
CAAUAGCGUAUAUUAAAGUUGUUGCAGUUAAAAAGCUCGUAGUUGAAUUUCUGGGCGGCCCGCCGGUCUUCCAUGUGUUGUACUGGGCGGCGCCGGCCAUCCUUGUGGAGAGGGCUCGCAUUUGGUUGCGUGUCGGAUCUGCAUCAUUUACUGUGAAAAAAUUAGAGUGUUUAAAGCAGGCUGUCGCUUGAAUACAUUAGCAUGGAAUAAUAAGAUAGGACUUCGGUCUAUUUUGUUGGUUGCGAACCGAGGUAAUGAUUAAUAGGGAUAGUUGGGGGUAUUCAUAUUUAAUUGUCAGAGGUGAAAUUCUUGGGUUUAUGAAAGAUGAACAACUGCGAAAGCAUUUACCAAGGAUGUUUUCAUUAA